GAUGAACGCUGGCGGCGUGCCUAAUACAUGCAAGUCGAGCGAACGGACGAGAAGCUCGCUUCUCUGAUGUUAGCGGCGGACGGGUGAGUAACACGUGGAUAACCUACCUAUAAGACUGGGAUAACUUCGGGAAACCGGAGCUAAUACCGGAUAAUAUUUUGAACCGCAUGGUUCAAAAGUGAAAGAGGGUCUUGCUGUCACUUAUAGAUGUAUCCGCGCUGCAUUAGCUAGUUGGUAAGGUAACGGCUUACCAAGGCAACGAUGCAUAGCCGACCCGAGAGGGUGUACGCCCACUCUGGAGCUGAGACACGGUCCAGACUCCUACGGGAGGCCGCGGUAGGUACUCUUCCGCGAUGGGCGAAAGCCUGCCGGAGCAACGCCGCGUGGGUGAUGAAGGUCUGCGGAUCGUAAAACGCUGUUAGUAGGGAAGAACACAUGUGUAAGUAACUGUGCACAUCGUGACGGUACCUAAACAGAAAGCCACGGCUAACUACGUG
rnacentral:rRNA from 1 species